rnacentral:rRNA from 1 species
CAGCAGCCGCGGUAAUACGAAGGGGGCUAGCGUUGUUCGGAAUUACUGGGCGUAAAGCGCACGUAGGCGGACAUUUAAGUCAGGGGUGAAAUCCCGGGGCUCAACCCCGGAACUGCCUUUGAUACUGGGUGUCUAGAGUAUGGAAGAGGUGAGUGGAAUUCCGAGUGUAGAGGUGAAAUUCGUAGAUAUUCGGAGGAACACCAGUGGCGAAGGCGGCUCACUGGUCCAUUACUGACGCUGAGGUGCGAAAGCGUGGGGAGCAAACAGGAUUAGAUACCCGGGUAGUCCCUGUCUCUUAUAC